AACGAAGUCAUGGCAACUGCAGGAGGUUCUAGAAGGAUGCAAGGUCGAGCUCAUACCUGAAGUAAAUACAUAAAUCAACAAGAAAGGCUGAGUUGAUGAGUGCAUGAAAGAAAUGGCCUGCAGGUGUUCGAUGAAUCACCUUAACGAGCGCACUAUGGUUUUCUUUGAGAUACAAACAAAUUGGGCCAAUUCUCAUGGUAUAUACUUAAAGGUGAACUUCUGGGAGGACCCAAUGAACCCAUCUAAAUGGAAGGAAGAACAUGUAAUAAGGGCUAGUUUCUUGAAUGUCUCUCUCUUUUGAAUAUGGAGUAACAAAUCCUCACACGUCUUCGUGGGGCUGAUCGUUUUGGAUGUCUACUUUCUUUUGGACAACGCAAGUAUCAAAUCCUCUCAAGCUAUAGGAAAACUUUUUUGACUUGGUUAAUUUACUUUCGUCAAACUUUUCAGAAGCACCUGCAGAGCCCAAAGCAAAGCCUGCAGAAGCUGUGGCUGCGGCUUAGUCUUUGCCUAUUUAAUGUGGAACUAGUCAUUUAAUAUGUCGAAGUUGAUGAAAUUGGUACGGUAUCCUGUAAACUAUCAAGUACUCGUUCAACUUUUCCUUGUUUCUAAGCGACAAUGUUUCUCUCUGAACUUGUUGUAUGACUUU